CUCAGAAAUCCACCUGCCUCUGUAAGAUAACUCUUGAAACAACUAUUUCUAUGUUCUCUGGUCUGGUCUUUCUAUCUGAAGUCCACUGGGCAUGCUCCUGCUGCUAUAGUUUUGUCAUAAAAAUAUUUGUUAUGAAGCACUUGGUGUUAUGCUACACUUGAGUUCAGGUGAAAACUUAUUAUCUUUUUUAUGCUCAGCAGCUUAUAUAAUCCAAGUUUUAAUGUCCUUAUUUUCAGAAAGUGGAUGUCAGGAACAGUUCCCUAUUAGCUUGCUGUGAGGAUUCAAUUUAUUAAUCUGGGAAAGUGUACAGAAGAUAUAUAUAUACACACACAUAUGUAUAUAUCUUAAAAAUGAAGUAGAAAUCAGCUGCGGAAAUGUGGACAACACAAAACCAAACUGUCCUGACACAUUUCUUCAGAAGUUCUGGCUAUACCUUUCUCCCAGGUCUUUUCAAACCUUGUAGGAGGCACUGGCCUGCUGCUCUGAAAUUAACUAAGGCCUCCCUGGAGAGGAGCUGUGUCACAUGAGUAUCCUGACACAUCAGUUCCUCCACCUAAAUGUGCCCUGUGACCCCACACUGGAGGAUUCUGAUCAGUGUGCAGGUAAAGUUAGGGCAAUAUAGAGACUGUGGUUCAGAGUACGACGAGCUUAUUAUUGGCAUAGUGAGGGAGAGAAAUUUAAUGCUGUUUCUUUCCUUGUGUUAUUAGCAGAGCAGGUGGUGAAAGCAGUCAGGAGGCAGGUGCUGGUCACGCGUUUAGAUUAUGUGCUGGAAGGGGCCUCCGCUCACGCGGAGUCAUUAACGUAUGAUGGGAAGACGAAGGGAAACAGAGUUCCCGAGUUUGAUCGAAGAUCUGAAAACAACCCUGCCUACAAGGCCAACUGCUGUGUUGUUCAUUCUUGACUCAUACAGUGGAGUAACUUCAUGAAGCCAUACACAUUCCAUGGUUCCACUGUCAUAGUCGGGCUUCUGUUGCUGUGAUGAAGUACCUGAUGACGGGGAACCUGUAAAGAAAAGAGAUUUAUUGUUAGCAGACAGUGCUGGAGGUGUGAGGGCACGGCGCUAGCAUCUGUUUGGCUCUGGUGGAGCCUCAUGACAGAUGGCAUCGCAAUGGUGGAAGGAGUGACAAGUACUACAUGCAGAAGAUGGAUUCAGGGAAGGUGCCAGGCUCCCUUAGCAUUUCCACUGUCCUGGCAGUGACUCCCUUCUAUGAAUCUAGCUUCAUCCCUUAUGAGGGCAAUGUCCCCAAGACAUGAUGGCUGUCUGUCAAUAUCACCACUUUGAGUACCAACAUGUGAUACUUUGGAGGACAUGCUCAAAUUAUAUCCAAACCAUAGUGUCCAUGCUCAAAAUCUGCAAAAUAGAAAUGAAUAUUCAUGGCAUGGGAAUUUAAUGGCUUACGCAAAGCUGCAUACUGGGAGCAGGGUUCAGCAGUUAUGUAAGGCCAUUUAAAUUAAAAUAAUUAAAAUGGGAACUCUGGUUCCUCUGCCUUGCUGGUCACAGUUCAAGUGCUCAAUGGGGAUGUGUGAGCAGUGGCUACCAUAUUGGACAGCAUGGAUAUAUGGCAUUUUUGUCAAUAAAGUAUGUCUUAUUAGACAGUUUGGUUCUGGAGACUCAUAAUUUCUUCCUUCCCAAAUGCAUAAUUGUCCCCUAUAAUUGUCAUAAAUAGCAGAAAAGGCACAUUUCCAGAUAAUGCAGAAACAACCUCUGAGCAUUCUGUCUUCUUCACUCCAGAGCAGUGGGAAGAGCAUGCUUACCCAAAUUCUCUAGCCUUAGGGCUUUUCUCUGAGCAUCUCUCCUAUGACAUGGAACGACUGAAGUAUGCUUUAGCAAUGUGCUUACUUUGACUUCUGCGUGCAACUUUUUCUUUACAGCUAAUAUUGAUCUAGCAGUGAAUUCCUUACAAAACCCAUACAGCUCCUCGAGGAAAAAUUGGCUGAGGUGCUAUAAAGUCACAGAUGUCUCAGGGAUUUAAAUUAAUACUGUAAAUCUCAGGAUUAUGGGGAAAGAGCUUGGGGCUUGUCUAAUAGCCUCCAACCUGACUGUGGCGUUAGUCUGACUGCCACGAGAGCUUGCAGGUAUGAGAACAGAGAUUCUGGUAUUAGAAAAUAUUGAAUCAGUUUGAUACCUAUAUGUACAAGGGCCUCAUUUUAAGUUGAUUUUUUUUUAAUUGAGAAUGGUAUGCUCAUGACAGAAAUGAGUUAGGAUUGGCUUAGCCUGUGGAACUCAGGUCUGCAUCAGGACAACAUUGGUUUUGUGAGCAGACAGGGUGUGGUGGUUAUCAUAGGUUGAAGGAGUGCUGAAGUACGGAGUGUAUCAGACACUCUGGCAGUUCAUGGCCUGGUGGGCAGGACUAUGUCCUUUCUUCUGGUAGUUAGAGUGUUAAUGCUGCUUUCUUGGGGUGGGAAGCCCUGAGUUUAUGGAGGUUUUCUGAAGGUAACAGAAGGGACUUCUGCUUCGCAAGUGUACAGAGAUGAUAGGACUGUGGUCUUUGCUAUGAUUUUAUGCUGAUCUGUCAUCCUUGGCAAGAACGUUAAGAUGUUUGACUGUGUAUUUCUCUCCCAGAGCAUGGAGAAUGAGUGUCAAGAGAUGGGUCCUGAGAUGGGUCUAUGUACCCUUACAUCUCAAGCUAUGACCCUUGGGCAUGAUUUCAUGUGGGAACUUGGU
rnacentral:lncRNA from 1 species